rnacentral:rRNA from 1 species
UGGGGAAUUUUGGACGAUGGGGGAAACCCUGAUCCAGCCAUCCCGCGUGUGCGAUGAAGGCCUUCGGGUUGUAAAGCACUUUUGGCAGGAAAGAAACGUCGCGGGUUAAUACCCCGCGAAACUGACGGUACCUGCAGAAUAAGCACCGGCUAACUACGUGCCAGCAGCCGCGGUAAUACGUAGGGUGCAAGCGUUAAUCGGAAUUACUGGGCGUAAAGCGUGCGCAGGCGGUUCGGAAAGAAAGAUGUGAAAUCCCAGAGCUUAACUUUGGAACUGCAUUUUUAACUACCGGGCUAGAGUGUGUCAGAGGGAGGUGGAAUUCCGCGUGUAGCAGUGAAAUGCGUAGAUAUGCGGAGGAACACCGAUGGCGAAGGCAGCCUCCUGGGAUAACACUGACGCUCAUGCACGAAAGCGUGGGGAGCAAACAGGAUUAGAUACCCUGGUAGUCCACGCCCUAAACGAUGUCAACUAGCUGUUGGGGCCUUCGGGCCUUGGUAGCGCAGCUAACGCGUGAAGUUGACCGCCUGGGGAGUACGGUCGCAAGAUUAAAACUCAAAGGAAUU